rnacentral:rRNA from 1 species
CCUACGGGUGGCAGCAGUGGGGAAUAUUGCGCAAUGGGCGAAAGCCUGAUGCAGCAACGCCGCGUGAAGGAUGAAGGAUUUCGGUUUGUAAACUUCUAUUCUCAGGGAAGAAGAUGGUGAUGGUUCACGAGGAAUCAGCCACGGCUAACUUCGCACCAGCCGCGGUGGUAAUACGUGGGUGGCAGGUGUUAUGCGGAUGUACUGGGUGUAAAGGGCGAGUAGGCGGGGGCGCAAGACAGAUGUGAAAACACGGGGCUCAACCCCGCGACUGCAUUGGAAACUGUGAGUCUAGAGUGCCGGAGAGGCAAGCGGAAUUCCGAGUGUAGCGGUGAAAUGCGUAGAUAUACGGAGGAACACCAGUGGCGAAGGCGGAUUGCUGGACGAUGACUGACGUUGAGGCGCGAAAGCGUGGGGAGCAAACAGGAUUAGAUACCCCAGUAGUC